UCUACGGGUGGCUGCAGUGAGGAAUAUUGGUCAAUGGGCGCAAGCCUGAACCAGCCAAGUCGCGUGAGGGAUGACGGUCCUAUGGAUUGUAAACCUCUUUUGUCGGGGAGCAAGGCCCGCCACGUGUGGCGGGAAGGAGAGUACCCGAAGAAAAAGCAUCGGCUAACUCCGUGCCAGCAGCCGCGGUAAUACGGAGGAUGCGAGCGUUCUCCGGAUUUAUUGGGUUUAAAGGGUGCGUAGGUGGUUUGACAAGUUAGUAGCGAAACUCCGGGGCUCAACUUCGGAACUACUACCAAAACUGUUGGACGUGAGUGCAGGAGGGGCAAUCGGAAUUCCUAGUGUAGCGGUGGAAUGCGUAGAUAUUAGGAGGAACACCAGUGGCGAAGGCGGAUUGCUAGACUGUAACUGACACUGAGGCACGAAAGCGUGGGGAGCAAACAGGAUUAGAUACCCCAGUAGUC
rnacentral:rRNA from 1 species